rnacentral:lncRNA from 1 species
GGACAAGGGUGUUUGCUUUCCAUGGACCAAAUUGACAUCACAGAGGGCCAUCAGACCAGAACCAUCUUCAGAGGACCCUGCUCAAGAGGAUGCCGGCAGGGACGAGGAGACCCCAGGGAAUUGCCUCUCUCCCACUGUGUGAUGUCAUUGUGGGAUGGUCAAUACACAUGCCUAUCCUCUCUCCAGAUGCAGAUGCUAAGAGGACUCCAUUCUGAUGACUGUCUAUAUCAAGGCCUCCUACCCUCAGGGAAUUGGGUGAGCUGUUCCUGUUGAUGAAGCUAUGGGGCUCUCCUAUGGGAGAUACCAGUAUUUGCAUAUGGGACUUGGUGCCUAGAUUGGAGCUGGCUUUGGUAAUAGAAUCCAUCUGCUUUGGCAUCGACUGCACAUGCCAGGGAGAAGAAUGGCUGGCAUCUGCUCCUUGACUUUGUUGCAGGUCCUCAUCUCUCUGAUCCUGUUUCCCAUCGUCUCUUUACCCUUGAUGAAGAUAAAAUUCCUGGCUAGACACCUGGCUUAAAGAAAUUAAAUAAAGGGACAAAAUCAAAGAGUUGGAGUAAGAAGUGCACAUUUGGUUUUGCAGUACGUACUCCAGUUGAUCCCACGUCUUUCUAUCGGGGAGCAGCGAAGUGUGUUUAGUUUCUUCCAAGAGUCUAUGGCGUUUGAAGUGGAGGCUAAGCUCCAGAUAUGGUUGCCAGAAUAUGACCUUGAGGAAAUGGAGUAUUAUAUACAAAUGUGAAUGAAAACCAAAAGGCAGAAGAAUACACACAGUAUGCUACGUUUCACACAAAAUUAAACACCAUUCCAUAAUUUGACAAUAUAUUUACCUUAUUGAAUAUGUAGACAAGUUACAGUGAAAAGUAAAGGAAUUACAAUUACAAA